CCUACGGGAGGCAGCAGUGGGGAAUAUUGCGCAAUGGGGGAAACCCUGACGCAGCAACGCCGCGUGAGUGAGGAAGGACUUCGGUCUGUAAAGCUCUGUUAAUGAGGAAAAAUGGUAGUUGGUCUAAUAGGCCGAUUAUUUGAUGGUACUCAUAGAGGAAGCACCGGCUAACUUCGUGCCAGCAGCCGCGGUAAUACGAAGGGUGCAAGCGUUGUUCGGAUUUAUUGGGCGUAAAGCGCGCGUAGGCGGACCUGCAAGUAAGAUGUGAAAUCUCGAGGCUCAACCUCGAAACUGCGUCUUAAACUACAGGUCUAGAAUCUCGGAGGGGGAAGGGGAAUUUCGCAUGUAGGGGUAAAAUCCGUAGAUAUGCGAAGGAACACCAGAGGCGAAGGCGCCUUCCUGGACGAGUAUUGACGCUGAGGCGCGAAAGCGUGGGGAUCAAACAGGAUUAGAUACCCUGGUAGUCCACGCUGUAAACGAUGAACACUAGGUAUUGGAGGAUUUGACCCCUUCAGUGCCGUAGCUAACGCGUUAAGUGUUCCGCCUGGGAAGUACGGUCGCAAGCUAAACNCAAGAUGNGNGNGNGAGNGCGAGNGACACGAGGAGAG
rnacentral:rRNA from 1 species